rnacentral:snRNA from 1 species
GUGCUCACUUCAGCAGCACAUAUACUAAAAUUGGAACGAUACAGAGAAGACUAGCAUAGCCCCUGUGAAAAAUAAAUAAAAUUUAAAAAAAUUU